rnacentral:lncRNA from 1 species
UAAAGGAUUCUUGAAACCAGGAAAGACUAGAGCUUAUCUAGGCCAAAUCCCCUAGUUUAUAAACCAGGAAAUAGAUUCUUGAUGACUUAGCCAUGAUAUUCUCAUUUGUGAAAAGCAAAAUCAGAACUCAGACCCAAUUCAAUGCUGUUUUCACUCCACUAUGUUUUUUCCUUAUGUAAAAUAAAGAUAUAUCUUGUUCAAAAAUUUAUGCUAUUUACCUGAAAGCCAAAUGUGCCUAUUUACAUUGUACUUUGCCAUUUUGCAAUAGUAACUUAUUUGGGGACUCUUUUUCCUGAUGCGAUCUUUAGGUUUAGUUGUAAUUGAAUGCACUCACCUAAACACACUGAAAUCUACAUACAAUAAUUGGCAGAAAUAGAUAAUUUUCUUUGUCUUUUUAGGGCCACACUCGCCGCACAUGGAGGUUCCCAGGCUAGGGGGUCUAAUCGGAGAUGUUGCUGCCAGCCUAUUCCAGAGCCACAGCAAGGCCAGAUCUGAGCCGCGUCUGUGACCUACACCACAGCUCACUCACAGCAACGCUGGAUCCUUAACCCACUGAGUGAGGCCAGGGAUCCAACCCACAACCUCAUGGUUCCUAGUCAGAUUCAUUUCUGCUGCGCCACAGUGGGAACUCCAGAAGUAUAUAUUUUUAAAAUACAGAGGAUUUUCAUUAUUUUAUGAUCUCUUAUACUAAUAAAACUCACCCAGAGAAGAUAACCAAGUUUACAUAAAAUUCUCUAAUUUUUUUUCAGACAUCAUGGGCUAAAAACGUGACAUUUUGUCUUUAUAUCUCUUUUUUGUUUAUCUCAUUCCAAAGCUUAUUUUACCCUCUAUUAUUUUGUGGUUUUAUAAAAUAUUUUUUUUGUGAAUUCACCCAAAGAACCUCUUGUAAGAGAAAGUAAAUAUCACACCUGAGAAAUAACUGGACAUUGUUCAUAAUCUCUCCAGGGAGGAGGGAACUGAAAGGCCACCCCAAAUGGGAACUCAGCUCUCUGUUCCUUAGUGUGAUAAAGUUUCCCCUUACACAGUCAGAAUAAUAAUACUUUCUACCUACUCACCUGUUUCACAACAGUAACAGGGUUCCAGGAUUCAUGCUUUAAUAUUGCAUGGUGGUCAGUGUUUCGAACAUGAGAGAUGGCAGAGGAAAUGAAACUUGGUUUGAAUUUUUGGAUUUCAAGUGUUGCUGGAUGGGAACAGGGCACGCAUUUCAAUUUGAGAUAAUAAAGAAAAGUCAGUUGAUGGCUGCAAACAGACAGGACUCUAGAGAACAUGCCUCAGAUGUCUAUGCAUAUCUGCAGGGCAAGGCCACUGCCAUACAUCCCUAAUAGUGUCAUUACAUGGCACAAGAGAGGCAUGUAUCAGCAUCUUUCAACUUACUUUGUUAUAUGUCAUAUAACAUGUUCUGUGUGAGAACUGAUUAAUGAACACCAGGAUUGUAGGCAUGUUGUCCUAGGCCUUUGUUACCAUGUAUCCUGGAAACAACUUGCUUUGCUCUAACAUGAUGAGCAAAAUUGCAAACCCCAUGAGUUUUUUAAUCAGUUCUUUUCUAAAACUGAGUUCCUGUGUGGUGAUCAAACCAGACCUCUUGAUGCUGUCAGGUGGGAGUUUUGCUUUGGGUCAUUCUCCUGCUUGAGGGAAUAAUGAUAUAAACCUUGCCUGACAAUCAUUAUAUGUCAUUCAGCUAAAGGUGUUUACUCUUGAGAAAGAGGCAAUGGACAAAGGUAGCUUGGAUUCUGGUUCUAGGUUUCCUAUUAAUUGAUUCUGGGCAUAUACAUGCAUUUUCAUUCAUCUUAAAAAGUGACAAACUCUUUGCAUGUAAAUAUGAUUCUGUGAUUCUGUAGAAAAAAAAAUUCUCUCAGUGGUUAAUCAAGAAAAAAUCCUAGGUUUCCUGUCUUCAUUGAGCCUAUUUUCUAAAAUAAAUAUAUUAGUUUUUUAUUUUUCUCACAGAGCAAAGCAGCAUAAAGAAAUUAAGCAGCAUGCAAUAGUAUAUUUUUAUUUAACCUUCUAGAAAAUACCAGUAUUAAGUCUUGAUGUAUUUUUGCAGACAAUAAAGUAGUUAAAAAGGAAAUCAUCAAGACUACUUUAACUUGGUAAUGCCAGGAUAAAGGAAGGAAUAAGAGGAAGAAGUAGGCAAUAAAUAUGAGUGGAUCCCAACCAGAAAGAUUUUAAAGCUCUAAGAAAAUAAAGAGCAGAAAAGGUGGACUUAUUAAUAACAUGACCCACUCUCAUCUCACACUUCUGCUCCCCUUCUACCUGUUGGUGCUGCUAUUCUAACAGGCACAUUGGGACACUUACUUGGGUUCCACCUUGGGAUUUCAAAACAAGUUAAGAACCCAGGAAUCUGCUCCAUACUGAGGCCUUCAUCCAUUUCACAAGGUAAUGAGUAUUUAUUAAAUUGCUCUUGUGUGUAUAACAUUGCUCCAGAUCUGCUUCCCCUGGACUACUGUCUUAUAAGAUAAGAAGAAUGUCACUACCUUCAUGGAGCCUUAGAAUCCAGCACUAGAGUUGGGUUCAGCAUCUUUAUGGCAUGACUAUUUUAUUCUAGUUUUAAUAAGUACUGGAAAACAAGAGUUCCCACUGUGGCUCAGCAGAAUCCGACUACUAUCUGCAAGGAUGCAAGUUCCAUCCCUGACUCCACUCAGUGGGUUAAGGAUCCAGUGUUGCCAUGAGCUGUGGUGUAGGUUGCAGAUGAGGCUUGGAUCUGGUGUUGCUGUGGCUGUGGUGUAGGUUGGCAACUGCAGCUCCAGUUCAACCCCUAGCCUUGGAACUUCCUUAUGCCACACCUGAGGCCCUUAAAAAUAUACUGGAAAGGUUAAAAAAAAGUGUUAAGAGAAUAUGAUGGAGGAACCUGACCUGGUAGGGUCAGGAAGUUUUCCCAGGAAGUGGCAUUUUAGACACACACACAUACAUACACACUCACAUGAAUAUAUGCAGAAUGUAUUCUGAAUGGCUAUGAUAAAUGCACUUAUAACUAUAGGUCAUGAUCAAAGUUUGAAAACUGAUGUUCUCAUAACUCCAGGGAGAGAAGGAAUCAAGUGACCUGUUCGUCCCAUGCCUCCCACAAUAAUCUCUAGUAAAGGAGUCAGUGCCGAGCAACUGAUACCCCCUCAGUCAUCACUAAGGGCAAAAGGGCUUGCAUUCACUGGAAGAGAGCUACGGGUCUAAGACAUUUACUUGAAAGUAUGCCCAGGGUCCAUACCUGGUCAAGGCACAUUACAACAGUUCUCUUUGGACAAACUAAGGGUUAAAUCUCAAUAGAAUCAUUUGUGGAUCAAGUUCUCAAGCUUUUGUAAAUAGAGGAGGGACAACAAAUGUAAGUGGGAACAUGUAAGUAUAAGAACUUUGCAUGUAUUAACUAUAUUUUGCUUAUCCACUCAUCUGUCCACAGACACUUGGGUUGCAUCCAGGACAUUAUGUUAAAUGAAAUAAGCCAGUUACAAAGAGACAAAUACUUUGUGAGUCCACUUAUAUGAUUUACCUAGAGUAGUCAGAAUCAUAGAGAUAGCAAGGUGCAUUUUACCACAAUGAAAACAAUUAAAGGCUUAAGAACAUUUUUUUUAACCAGUAAGGCACUGAAGGAAGUCUUUCUAUGGGGCACAUAGAGUCACAUGGCCCUGGAGCAGUUAAAUACCUUCUCUGAAAUUGAUGACACAUCUCCCCUCUUGUGAUUCUUACCCCCUCACCUCAUACAUUACUCUUAAAUCUAACCACUAUGAUUGCCUCAUUAUAUAUACAAUAUACUUUAUUUGCAAGCCAGGCUUCUUUUUUUUCCUAGAGUUCUCUGCAAAAACGUAAAACGUGAUAAUAUAUUUGCUGUGCAAAUUAGCUAUAGAUAGUUAUAUUGUAGUACUAUCAGAAACUAUUAUUUACCUAUGUUUUUAGAAUAUAGAAGUCAUCCUUCCCCUGCAAUCCUUAGUACUUUUGCAUGCAAACUCUGUGUGAAACAGGACUUGAGAAAUUACAGGCUUAACUCAAGAAGUCAGCCUUUAUACCAAUCACCUACACUUACCCAGCACUUACCCCAUUAAUUUCUAAUGUUGCUUGGAACAAAUUAACAUUCCUGGAAUGCAAGCUAACUGAAAGAGCCCUGGAGAACAUUUCCUGGCUCUUCAUAUUGACAAAUUUAAAAGCCUGUGCGGUGUUUAAUAGUUGUACAGAAGAUACCCUGCCCCCAAAUGUUUCUCCAUUUAUAACUCCUUACUGCACAGUGCCUCAAAUCCCACCUGCUGUGAACUUACCUAAAUGAGUCUCUUUUGUAUGCAGUAGAGAGCCACAGAAAGGUUUGGGUUGGAUGGGGGUGGGGGGCUACCUCAGCACAAUCUCAAGCACAACCUCAGACUGAAAUCUGUGGGAGAGGAAAAAUAAUUUUCCUUAUACCCUUCUAGGUUCUUGGCUGAGAUCCCCCUGUAAUAGAAGACUUAUUAUAUAGCAGGAGAAAAACAAACAGAAAUUUAAUAGCAUGUAUACCUCCUGUAUACAUGAGAAAGACCCAAGGAAACUUAGUAAUUCUCUGAAAUGGCCUGAGCCACCACUUUAAAUACCAUCUCCACCUCAAGACUAGGAAGAUGGGGGAGAGGCAGCUAGUUAUGGGAGAUUAUCCAGAAGGAAAAAAAAAAAAAGCUCAAAACAAUCCCUAUACCAAAGAGGCAUAUUUUGAGGUGGCAUAUCCUCCUCUCCCUCAGAACCCAUAAGGAGCUCUCAUUACCAGCCACUAUUUUCCACAGCACACACACACACAUUUGUGACAUUCCUUAUACGCAUUAUAAAGCCCACCAAGGGGGGUGCCUACCGUGGUGCCACAGAUCAUCAGUGGCAUCCCUGUGUCUCUGCAGUGCCAGGACAUAGGUUCAAUUGCUGGCCCCGCACAGUGUGUUAAAGGAUCCAGUGUUGCCGCAGCUGUCUCAUAGGUCACAGCUGUGGCUCGGAUCUGACCCCCUACCAAGGAAUUCCAUAUCCUGCUAGUUGGCCAGAAGGAAGGAAG